UGUGUCUACCCUCUGAUUUAAAAAGUCAUGUAUUGGCUUUACUGGCUGUGUGACACAUUAAGUUGUUCUUUACCAAAUCCAGUUUUGUUAUUGUCUCUAGUUCUGCCCUAAAUAAGGUGUAGGGAGGCUGCUAAAGGUGAUCCAUUUCAAAUUUAGGAUUUAAAUUCAGGUCAGUCGACUCGUCUAAGAAAACAAGGUAAGAAAGAUAAGAAACAAGGUAAGAAAACAUUGAAAAAAAGCCCAAACUGAUCCUCAUUUAUUUAAAGCUGCUCUGAGGAACUUUUGGUUUGUGUUAAUCUUAGCGCCCCUUCUGGACAACGUAAUACCUCUUUCUCUCGUUUUGUACACAUUAAAGUAAUGUUUGCUAGACAAAACUUAUUCCUUUUCAUGUUAAACAUAGGGAUGUACCGAUACGCAUUUUGAACUCCGAUACCGAUACAGAUAUCUUUAACCCUACUAAACAUAAACACAGGUACUGUCAUGAGGAGGAGGAGGAGCUGUGUUAGCAUGCUUGACAGAGUGGGAUCACAGCAUCUACAAACACUGUGUUGGUUUGAGAAGUGUGGCUAAUACCAGCAGAGCCAGCAGCUAUGGUUGGGCGAUAUGGCUUAAAAGUAAAAUUUCUUCUUUUUUUAAAUUUUUUCACACGGAGCUUAUUGAACAAUUUUAAUUGAGGCCCUUAAUCUUGUGACUGUGAAAGUAGUAACAGAAAACCUGUUCUUAAUCCCUGGGUGAUAAGCUCAGCUUUGUGGUUAUUUGUAAAUAAGUUGUUUGGAGGCAGACACUUUGCAGAGCCUGAUCAUUGUUUAUUAAAUUCAGCUGUCAAACUCAUGUAAGGCUGCAUGGUUCCACUGGACCAUGACUUUUGUGAGGGAAUAAAACUUAAUCCUCCAGCUCUCUGGUUAGCAGCACAAUCAAAGUAAAUACUUGUUGUUUGGUAGCACAUAACUGGGGUUAAUCGUUUGAAGCAUGUGGAUAAACCAUAGACUGUAUAUACUAUGGACAACUUGGUUAUGCCCUCCACCAGUAUAUGGAUUUAAAUCCGAAAAGCUCUUGGUAUUUCCGCGUUUUUUCUCCAUUUUCCUAAUACCAACAUUGCGCAGUAGGGUUGUACUCACUCCACCACUUGCACAGUGGCAUUGUGCGCAUUUGGUGGGAGAGUCGCCAAGAGUCGCUGUGAUGACGCUCGGCUCAAACAGCGUAUCCCCCACGUGAGCUGCGCAAUCUUCGUACACCCAUAGGCUGUAUCAAGUGCCAAUCAUAGAAAACAUGAACCCCCUAAUAACUUUUAAAAACGAGGACUUCAGCACAAACCAGUCUUACAGUAACUACAUGUCAACAUUGCAAGCAGGGGUGAGAAAAAAUUAUAUUCUGUGUAAUAAAUUUCUAAAGUUUGUCCACAACUCCAUAGGGAUUGCUGGAGGAGGCGGGAUUUAAAACCUAUACUGCAGCCCGUCACCAGAGGGUGCUGUUCUCAGGGUGGCUUCACCGAGCGAGGAGGCAGACGGCGUCCAUUCUAUAUACAGUCUAUGGGAUAAACCCAGACUUUGCCAUAGUAUAAAUAGGCAUAUAGAUAGGGGUUGGUAAUAAGAUGUGAUUGCAUAGUCAUGAUUUAGUUAUCCACUUUUUAGCUAUUUAUCCAGAAUAGUUUAAUUGUGUUUUUCUGCUAUUUGUAAUUGUUGGUUUUGUCUAAAAUAUGUAGUACCUGUGACAAACAAUCCAGCCACCCCAUCGCUCCCCCCACUCACAAAUCCUUGGGAAAAUGACUUGUUUUUCUUUGGUGAGCUGGCAAUAACAGUUUCUAUUUAAGUAAACAUCUUUCUGUGACUGUACUGCCAUCCAAAGUUUUUUUCUGUAUCAUUUCAUACUCUAGUCUUCGUAUCAGAAGCUGCACCUGGAAGAAAAAAAUGGUAUCAGGACAUCUCCAGUGUCACCUGUCAAACUCAGUUUGUUGGCCUGCCUGUAUGUGUCUUGAUACGUUUGUCCACCAUCAGUCAUAAACACACAUAGUGUUCAUAACUGUGAGUGUGGUGUGGUGCCCCUGUUUUACCUCAUACCUCUCUUUUCUUCAAGAGUGUGUGCUUCACUGUUAUCACAAAAAAACAGAUAAGAAAGAAUCCUCACAAAACUUACCCCAAACAUGUGACUUCCUCUAACCACUGAGAGGGAAAAAUUCACUUUGUAUCAGUGGAAAAUUCUUAAAACAACUUCCCAUCUGUCUGCAACCACAGUUUGUCCACAAGCAUAUAAACACACACACUCUCACACACUCAUACACACACAUUAAUAAGGCUGUAUUAAGUUAAAAGCAUUGAUCCCAUCUCGCUGCAAUUACACACAAGCUCCUUUCAGUUUCCAGUAAAGGUAAAUAACUCCAGCAGCAUUUCUCUGAAUGUGCUCCCUUGUGCAUAAACACACAUAUUUAACUAAUGCACUCAUCAAAGUCCUUCCGUCUGAAAUGUAAAAAAAACCCCGACAACCUUCACUGUGAUUUAUGAAAAACAAAAUCCACUGCUUCUUCAAACCCUUGCCUGUGGUUUUCCUUCAAACGGGUGCUUUGCUAGCUGACUCACUGGCUGAAGUACAGCGGAUUUCCACUUCCACUUUGGCCCGGUCGUCUGAAAUGGUAAAGAAAAAACAGCAAGGCGGGGAAGAGUAACGGAGGGAAGGAGGAGAUGGAGAUCUGGAAGCCAUUAGAAGCUGGCAGCUGUGUGCUGGAGUGGCUGAUUCAGAGGAGGAGGGAGAAAAAGAAGGAGAGAGGGAGUAUAUGGCAUAUGAUUGCCAUAAUGAAUUUAAUAUCUGUGCAUGUGCAGGUCAUUAAUGCAGAGCCUUGUGAUUAAGCAGCGGGGAAGAUAAAGAAUAUCAAAAGUCAUUUUCUAAAGGCAGUCGUUGCUCUUUACAACUCCCACUGCAUUUCCUCUGUGGAGCAAUAAGGUCUUAUCUGCUUGUUUAUCCAUCCUUUUAUCUGUUUUCUAUUUAUUCCACACUUCCUUCCUCUCUUGGUAAGUAUGUACCACACAAACAGAUACGCACACACGCGCUCACACACCAACGCAUGUCUCUACUUUGAAUCCCCUCGAGGAUCAGAGCUGAAAAGAGAACUUAAGAAAUUCAGCCAGCCACAAAGAGAUGUAAAACUGACCAUUGGUUAAGGCCCUCCCCCAAACAUAAACAAAAUGUAGCCUAGCAACCAUAACUAUUAUAUAGUUAUAUAGAGUAUAUCUUCCAUUAUCACAUGGCUGUAAUACAUAUCAUAGUAACAGUCUGACAAUCCUGACAAUCCUUGAUAGCUGAUGAUUUAUCAUCAACACUUCGGUGUUUCAAAAUUUACUAGUUGUCGCCUUUAAGCACCAUCCUCAGUGUGGUAAAUUUCACUGUUGUAUUCAACGCCUCUGGCAUUUUCUGUUAUCAUCCCAUAAACAAAUUGUGUUAAAAUAACUGGAUGUCUUUCUCCACCCUGAUGAGAGUGUAGUUAUACUGCGUUCCAGUUGUACUCAGAAGUCAGAAUAUCCGAGCUCCGAGUCAGAAAACUCAUCUGGAACCCCCCCGAAAGCUCUUGUAAUGUUUUAUUUAUUAGCACUUCUGUUUUGUUUUUCAGAAAGUGGUAUAUGUUGUACUGCCCAACGUCUAACUGUGAACACGGUGCUAUGGUGUUUGUAAGAGUAAAAUACUGUGUAGCUAACAACAAAUAACAACCGCUGACGACUGCUAACAACAGCUGACAACAGCUAACGACAGCUGACAAUUGUAAACAAUAGCUAACAACGGCUAACAGUCAGCGUCCAUCUUGGUUUUCCGACCGGUUUCCUGAAAUGCCGUCAACUCAGGUGUAGUGUCAUUCCCAGCUCCAUUAUCUUACUUCCGAGGUAACUGGAACACAGCAUUAGCCCUCCAGAGUCUGUGGUAGUACUUACAGUCUGUUCUUCAUAGCAACAGUGUGCUACCAAGAAAUAGCAGACUGUUUCUUUAAGUGCUGCUAAGUAAUGACAAGGCUUAAAAUUGGGGGUAUUUUGAUUAGGUAUUCUCCCAAAGUUUAAUCCAUGUGACCUGCAUGCUUCAUGUAAGCUUGACCCUAAGCACAUGCACCCUCUGGCAGAUGCAUAAAUUAGAUAUUUAUUUUAAUACCAAGCUUAAUGGAUGUAUAAGGGUUGUAGCGAUUUCACUGUUUAAAACAUACAGGUGUAUUUUUGUGUGUAGAAGGGGCAUGAAUGAAAUGACAAGUGUUACACGAUAAAAUACAAAAAGGUAUGUUGUAGAUGAUAAUGAACAUAAGACAGUCUGAUACUGAAAGUAGUAUUGCAUGUGAUACUGAAGGUAAUCCAUUCCAACAUUGAAGAUUGAUGUUGCACUAUUAUGAACACAAGAAAGUUUGCACAUAAGAUGGCCAAUACUGAAGAGAUGAUGCUGGAAAUAAAAUCACCAUAAAUUAUAAUCUCACUAUAAUAAAUGUGAAUACAAACUUAUAACUCAUAGUCUUCUUUCAAAGUGGGAGUUAAUGAAUUGACUGUUGCAGGAGCAUAGUAAACACUAUUGUGCAAUGAUGUACAUCACGUAGAGUGGGGUCUGUCCCUGACCUUUUAGAUUUUCAUGACUCGACUCAUUUUAACUUGACUUGUUAUUGCUUGGUUGAUUUCUGACAAAACUCACCAAUCAAAACAUUAGCUUCCUCCACUCUGCUCCCUGCUCCUCCCCUUUCCUCCUUGUUUUCAAUGUUGUUCUCCUCACUCUCUCUCUUGUGUCAUCUCUGGUGGUCUGAAAUAAUCACUUAGGUGGUCUGACUCCCGUGUGGGCCUCUAGGUCGACAAGGGGGAACACAGACAUUAACCGGGUCACAGAACACACACAGAAAGAGAAAGAGAGAGGGGUUUUUACCUGGCAUGAGUCACUUUGAUCACAGAGAACAACAGUCAUCCUUGUUAGACCCCUGACAGAUUGAAAACAACAUUCACCUCUUAAACUUUAUACUGAAAGCUUGUGGCUUGAAGCAGACACUGUGCCGUAGUUUUUACUCACAGAGAAUCUUGCAAAAAGAAAGUGAGAAAAGCGAAACAGGUUGACACAGAAAUGUUUCUCAGUUUGUUCAAGGCUGUUUGUGAAAUUUCUCUUUGGUUUGUCGUAAAGCCCAAACUCUCCCCAACUAAUACUAUCAGUUACUGUUAUUGGUAAACAGCAAACUGCUCUAUUUUUCUAUGUCUAUGAUUGACUGGUGGAAAUUUUUAUGUUAAUUUCAUAAUUGAACCAGGCCUACACCAGACAGGAGAAAGAACUCAUCAUUGUGGUAUGAUGCUCAAUAUUAUGCUCAAAAGGUCUGAGGGUCCUGGGCUGUUGCGCAUUUUGGUUUCCAGUGGCUUUACAAACAAAUAUUGAAAUAGAAAAAGAAUCAAAAGAAAAUGGACUGAAAUGAAGACAGUCUCCUCAGCUCGUAUUGUUAUUUUUUUCUGUUUCUGGAUUUGAUCACAAAGCCAGACUAAGUGCAGCUCUCUCAUCUGUCGAUAUUUAGCUCCCACUGUUAGAAAUCAUUCAUAGGCUACACUAAAACAGCUCAACACUACACACCAGGACCUUUUCCAUGAUUUAGAGUAGUUUUAGAUUUCAAUGCUUUUGUAAUAAAUAGCAUCCAAUAAUUGAUCUUAUGUUUUACCCGAUACAAAAGGCUUCAAAAACUCAAAGGACAUCUUUUCAUAACUGGUAUUUCAACUUGAGUACUUUUUGGAUGAUGUAAGCUUUCAGAAGGACUAAAAAUGCGUAGGUUGUCCAUUGACUCUAAGAACAACCCAUUUAGUAACUCAGUAGAUACUGAGCUAACAGGCUAACAUUCUGCUACAGCCAGAGAGAUGACAUGUUUAUUAGCCAACAUUAGUAUUCAGCUAGCAAAUAGUAACCAUAUGGUCCUGUAAUUGCCCUCAGCUAGUUUGCUGUACGUUAAGUGAGGUAAUAUGGUUUACUUGUCAAAAAGUAAAGUGAGGUAUCUGUUAACAAAGACGUCCUUUUUGAUUAUAAUUACUUUGUUAAUUCUGUUGAAGUUAAUGGAAGUAGUUAAGUAGCUGUUAAGUACAUAUUGUCAAUAAUGCAUUAAUAUGCAAUUGCAAGAUGCAAACAGGAGAACUACAUUUUUUUCACAAAGCCUAUUGGAUUAGGAAAGCUAAGUGUUAAAGUUAGAAAUAGCCUGAUUUUGAUAUUUUUUUUUAAAGGUUGAUACCAAUACUGAUUAUAAUAGAUUUUGAGAUCAAUAAUAGAUAACAUAUUUUGGAAUUGAUGUGCAUUUAUAAAAGGAAGGGGUUCACAAACCUGAAUGAUAAUAUUUCAUUCCAGGACUCAUCAUUUUCCUAUGUUUAGAUGCUUGAUAAUACAAUAUAAAUUUACUGAAAGCAAGCUUGCAAUAUCUUCAACAUACUAAUAACUGUAAUCAGUCAACAAGCAAUUCGUGUCUUUAGUUCUAUUUGAUGUGUGACAAACAAGUCAGGGAGAAAGUUGUUGAACAAUAAUGAUAGCUGUUGAGCAACUUUGUCACGAGUUAUGAAAUAUGCGGGGUUAAAAGAGCGACAUAAAUUUGUGUCACUGGGGAGCAUUUGGGGCGAAAGAAGAAAGAGUUAUGACCGAGUUGUAUUGAGUAAGCGUGCAACAAAGACCUACUUUCUGAAGGCUAGCAUUUAUGCAGAUGAGGCGCAUGAAAUGGCUCUGAUCAACCCCCAAAGCCUUGAGUGAUUUUACAUAUUCUUUGUUUUUCAUAACAAUAAUUCAUGACCUCUUUUAAAGCCAAAAAUAAUGUACAAGACAAAAAAGUGUUUCCACGCACGUCAUUGCGGUAACCAUAUUUUAGCUGAUUUGAAACUGGUUGAAAGGAGGUCUUAGAUGUUUUAACCUUUUUGAUGUUGAUGUCCUAUUCAGUGCUCACUCACUCAACAUUUUCCACUAACUACUCUCAAUAAUGUGUCCAGAAAUCUGUUUACAUUUUAGCCCGCAGUUAGAGAAAAAGAGGAACUAAAACCUGCUAAAAGAGAAGUGAGACAACUCUGAGGGGUGUAAGGACACAGAGAAGUGUAGAGUAGUUUGAGGAAGACGAAGUUAAGGCUCCUCGAGGAACUUCGGGUGAUUUUGGUGACUGCUGUCGACAACCUGGUCCUAAUCUCACCCUCCUCACUUGUUACACUGAAUGCUUAUGCUUUUUCUGUGGGAUGUUAAAGAAAAGGCUUUAUCAGCAAUAGACUUGGGCGACUAAUUGGAUUUCUAUGACGAAUAUGGCUCCCCAUGAGCAUAAAAAUAUAACUGAGUAAACUGCUGUGUUUCCCCUCUUACUUCCCGUAUAUUCAAUGAAGCCCACCCUCUCCUUCUCACUUCAUGAUUGAGGGCUGAGGUUGAUGUGAAAGUUUUGGAGCACAAGGAAGUUGCAGCUCCCACUAAGAUUAAUGAAGGACUGCUGUUAUGCAACGGCAGGACAAACUAUCAGGUAGUCCCACGUGGAGAGAGGAGAGCAGGGAGAGGAGCAGGAGGAGGCAGUGUAUCUGAAAAAUAAAACAAAGCUCCUAAAGUAUAUUAUCCUGCUGGACUGACGGACCUGCUUCAGUACACAAAAAAAUGAAGGCUGAACAAUUUUUCUCUUAUUGGGUUUAUUAAUGAGGUUUUGAUUUUUGCCAUUGUCGAACAGCCCUUAUCUACAGUGAGCUUAACCCCGUGGUCUGACAUCUCCCCACAUUUUUUAGGCAUUAAAGAUGACCAAUUUAUAAAGGACAACUUGUAAAAGUGGAAAAAGUGUAUAAACCUUGGCAUUCAUCUUCAUUAUGCACCACCUUUUUUAAUUGCCAUUUGUCCUGCAGAGCAAAAUCUGUAAUUAUUUGUCUAUGUGUCUUCAAAGCAUUUAAUUAGAUUUUAAGGAGUGUUGAUCUUUCCUUGGAAAAAGGUGGGAGCAGUAGUGGAAAAUCAUGUGCGUGACAUUAACCUCAUGUCACAGCAGAACUUGGUAUGAUAUUGACGUUAGUGCUUAAAACAGAAAGAUAACACUUCCUUUUGGUAUAUUUAUAGCACACUUACUCAUGGAAUAAAGCAAAAAAUAACUUUGUUUAGGUCAGUUCCACCCAUGACCCACUCCUGAUCUGUCUUUCUGGAGAAGAUCUGUGGGACGUGUGUUAAAGAAAGGUGGAGAAAUGACAUGAUACACUGGCUUAUCGUCAUCCUCAGUCACUCAGUCAUGUUCGAUUUCGUGGAGAUUGCUUCAAGAUUAUGACACUAGAUGUAAACGUGUGAACUUUCACGUCCACAGAGUAUGUGAGUGGGAAUAGUUAAUUCAUAAAAUAAAUCAAAGUACAGGUUUAAAAACAGUCCACACAUCUUGUGAACACCAGAAUAGAGGCCAAAAAGAUAUUUUUAACACUGACUUUCUUUUUGGAAAAACUUGUGACGGCCUCAUUAGGAACCUAUUUUUAUCUCGCCUUUUUCUAUUUCUUUGUGGAAAAUCUUGUUCUUCGCUCAAAGCUAUUUCCUCCUAUCUAACACAAAUUCAAAUGCUGUUGAGAUAAAUCCUCCCUUGAUUUGUGGUUUGUGAAAUGAUUGGGCAAUAGCCUUCAGCCUGUGUAUUGACGUACACAACUUGAAAUUGAUGACUCGACUUCUGAAAACUUCUGCCGUAUGUGACAAAUCUGCCAGUAUCUCAACAGCCGUGGGCUCUAUUGCAUCAGAUGAAAACCACAAACAGAUAAAUACACAGCAGUUUGAAUGAAGAGGGUGUGGAGAAAUAAUAUUAACUCCUUAACAGUGUGAUGACCUGCAGUAAUGCCUUUGGGAAAGUUGUUAGAGUGACUGAGAAAUUCAGUUUUGUGCCAAUUUUUGGGGGCCUCUGUGUACAAAGCGGUUCAUCCACCUGUUUGUUUUAUGCAAUUUGAAUAGUCUGUUUCACUACACUUUAAAGCCUUAAAGUGGAUCUUAUUUUGGUUGGUCACUGCUUUUAUUCGCCACUGGAUACAUCAACAUAAACCUUGUGGAGAUAAUCAUAAUCCUAAGAGGAUGAACCCUGCAGGGCCUGCUGACCUCCCUUACUCAAACACCACGAGGGGACAUCUGUUUUUUUUUUAAAUAAAUGUCUCAGACGGUUGUAUCUUCCUGAUUUCUGCUGCUGCUGGAAACAGUGACACCACUUUUGGUGGUUUAAACAUCAUCAGGGUACGCUGAAGUUGUGCUCCACCUACGAGCUGAACAUGCAAGUGCAGCUGAUCAGGCUAGUGUCAGUGGGCAACCGUGCCACAAAACAGCACAUGACCACUGACUAUGGACCAGUCAACAUGGUGAAAUGGAUGUUGUCGUCUAAUGGAUGUCCUCUGAUUAACAUGAUGUGACUAAUUGUGUGUCUUAGUGUUGUAGGAACAGUAUUUUCAGCCAUACAGAACCACUGUGAGAAAGAUUAAAAGUUAACCAGCAAUUCCAUUUAUGAGUAAACAAAGUUAUCUCAGUAUAACAUUGAUUAACGUUCGAUUUUGUACGUGAUCUUCUGCAUAUUUCUUAAAGUGCAACAGUCUUAUCUUUCAAAAAUGACACAACUGAAACCCUGAAGAGUGCAACUGCUGAGACAUUAACCAGAGAUCACAGUAGAGAGUCAGCGAGAUAUCAGAGUUAUGAAUAUAGCACUGUUUGGAGAUCACUCUUAAAUAUUUCUCAAAGUGCGUUUAUGUUAACUUUUAAAGAACCACUCCAAUGAAAAUCCUGUUUUUCUUGUUGUCUACAUGUUCAUAUGGCAAAGUGCAAAAUUGCAUUUCUGAGUAUUUCUGCGUUCAAAUCGUUGAGGACCUCUGGCAGACCCAAAGGGCAGGUUCAGAUAGAGUGGGAUUUUUUACGUCACAAGUCCAAGCUCCUUUAAUCCUCUAAAUCUUUAGAAGAUUUCACAGCUCUAGUUUGAUUAGAAAUGAAAAUAGAUUUAAAAGAUAGAAGGUCAGACCUGGCUUUCUGUCUCUCUUUCAUUCAGCUGCUCGUGACGUCAUGAAGAGCUUGUGAGUGACGAUAGAGAGUUAAGAGAAUUUCUAAAAUUGUUUGACACAUCCCCCUCAGUGCACCAGUGGAAAGAUGUGGGAGAAUGAGGAAGUUACCUAAGCUGUAGGUAUGCCACAGCAGUAAUGUAAGCCUUUGCUUUUUGCGUGUUGCAUUAUAUUUCUUUGUCCAACAUUUAUUUUGUUCUACCUCAUUUAGAUCUAUUUACACCAAACAGCUUGAGCCUCUAAGCGCCGCAGCUACCCCUGCUGAAGGCACACUGAGAGCUUAUUGGACUCGGCAUCCUGCCACAUGAGUUGCUGCUUUCAGGGCCUUUCUCGUAAAUCUAUUGUGAAAGCUUCGGGGCUUUGACCAGCGCAAGCAGAGCAAAAAAUGGGAGUCUGAACGGCUGCUGUUUGAGGGAAAGAUGAAAUAAUACAAAGACAGGAAAAGGCUAUUGGCCAAAACAUGGGGAAAAUCCAGGGGAUGAGUCCAGCUCUGCAAACAUGUUCGCCACCUGAGGGCAAAAAUUCUGGCGUUGAAAUACUUUAUAAUGCAGUGAAAUGGCUGAUGGUGAUAGAUUACAUAGUGGAAUUGUACCCUGUGAUAUCUGAUCUACACAUCUGUUGUUUGUGCUCCUUAAAUGUGUGUG
rnacentral:lncRNA from 1 species